rnacentral:lncRNA from 1 species
GGGAUUCAACGAAAUGGAGGCCAUGGCGUUGGCUUCUCUGUUCUGGAGACGCAGACGACAGCCAAUCGCCAAAACGGAAAGGUGACAGCGCUUGGAGCUGCGUAAACAGGUAUUACUCUCCUGUCCCCGUUUACCGUUCGCCUGCGUAGACGGCGUCUCUUGUACUCCUCUUGUGACCAUUCGCAUAUCUUCCGUCGCCGAAUUGGACUGCUCUCGGGGUCGACAUCGCCGCCUGCUUCUCUUCUUCCUCUUGCGGCUGCUUGCGGUCUCCUCUUCUCAGCGGUGAGUUCUCGUGCUCCGACAAUGCUGGACCGAUUCCCAUCUCUGCCUUGUAUGGUUAACGCGUAUUGUAACCCUAGCCGCCGUUCCGUGUUCAUGCCGCCCGCUUCCUCAAUCCAGAAACCCUAGCCGAAUUUUCUCUGCUCCUGUGCGGAUGGAUUUUCCACCGAGCAAAG